UUUGUGAGAGAUUUUUGGCAUCCGCGUAGCGAUCGUCGUUCUUUGGAAGCAGUUACCUAUCUUGCAACUAUUGAAUUUUGAAGCGCAACCGAGCUUUCGUCAUCCUUCACUGUGGGCGAAUAGUUUAAGGCAUUUACAAACUCUAAAUUUAAAUUUUCAUGUUUUUGACUAUUUUUCAAUUUUAGUUCUUAGGUUGACAUAUUAAAUGUCUGGUAGUAGUAUUGAGGAAGAACAACCUACCCUUAGCACUAUUAGGCGCUAUCUUAUAAGAUAAUCUUUGGGGAAAGAUCUUGGCUGAAAUAAAGGAAUUGCUUCUUCUCUUUCUGAUAAUAUUGACGACCCAUUUCAGCUGUUAUAUGCGGAAGAACAAAGAGAGGCUUUUACGUGGCCACCCCAUUUGACAGACCAUCUGGAUUAAUCUGCCAUGUUGCUGCCCAACAAAUGCAUGACCUAAUGAAGGCCGUCGCUUUUGGGACAUAGCUGGUUGAGAUGUACAAAUACUACCAGGAGCAACAUCUCCUAGGAUCCUCAAACCAGGAGUCUCUGGAAACGGCAUUGAAAAAUGCCGAGGAAGCUCUUGACGGCAUCAAAGUGAUAAAGGCCAGGGAUGAUGAGGAGCGGAAGACUUUACGGGAGAAGGUUGGUAAGGUCACCAACCUUAAAGCGGAGGUGAAACUCCUCAAGACCCAGUUAUCUGAAAAGAGCACAGCGGCUGACCAACUUCUUGUUGUGCAAAAUGAGCUCUCCUAUGCCAAAAAUACUAUCAGCACUUUUGAGGCUAAGAUCCAAAAAAUAGAAGCUGAUAAACCAAGUAUUCGUCAAAGAGCAGUCGACCGCUACUUAACCUCCAAAGUGUUUUGUACCAAGCUUCAAGACCGCUUUGAUGGGGGAUAGACCGCUGCCCAGAGAUGUGUAGUCCAGGCUGCCGGCUGGAAGAAAGAUGACUGGGCCAAGGUUGAGAAGGCUUUUGAUAAUGAAGCCCACAAGAUUCCUUCUGGCUUUGAACAACAAAAAUUUUCUAAUGAAGAUCUUCUCAAUCUCGAUCCUACUCCUAAUGACGACCCUUCAGAUCGCAGCAUUGUGAAUUAUCCCGAGCCUGAAAAUUUACAAGCUUGAAGGGGCAGGCAGUCAUCACUGACAUCAUCCUGCGGUUCUUGUGUAAUGGGACCUUAUCUGCAAUGAUUUUAAGCUUUGAACUUUUGUUUUUUGUGUAGCUAUUUUUUGACAAUGUUGUUUUAUCUACAUGUACCCUUUUUUGUGGUGAUGCCUGUCGAUUGUCAUUCGUAAUGUUUCUUUUCGCAAAAAAAUUACCUUCUCUGUCUAUAUGUCAUACAUUUACCUUGUUUUACUUUGUUUUUUACUAAGCAUUU